UAAGCGACUAAGCGUACACGGUGGAUGCCCUGGCAGUCAGAGGCGAUGAAGGACGUGCUAAUCUGCGAUAAGCGUCGGUAAGGUGAUAUGAACCGUUAUAACCGGCGAUUUCCGAAUGGGGAAACCCAGUGUGUUUCGACACACUAUCAUUAACUGAAUCCAUAGGUUAAUGAGGCGAACCGGGGGAACUGAAACAUCUAAGUACCCCGAGGAAAAGAAAUCAACCGAGAUUCCCCCAGUAGCGGCGAGCGAACGGGGAGCAGCCCAGAGCCUGAAUCAGUGUGUGUGUUAGUGGAAGCGUCUGGAAAGGCGCGCGAUACAGGGUGACAGCCCCGUACACAAAAAUACACAUACUGUGAGCUCGAUGAGUAGGGCGGGACACGUGGUAUCCUGUCUGAAUAUGGGGGGACCAUCCUCCAAGGCUAAAUACUCCUGACUGACCGAUAGUGAACCAGUACCGUGAGGGAAAGGCGAAAAGAACCCCGGCGAGGGGAGUGAAAAAGAACCUGAAACCGUGUACGUACAAGCAGUGGGAGCACAGAGCAAUCUGUGUGACUGCGUACCUUUUGUAUAAUGGGUCAGCGACUUAUAUUCUGUAGCAAGGUUAACCGAAUAGGGGAGCCGAAGGGAAACCGAGUCUUAACUGGGCGUUAAGUUGCAGGGUAUAGACCCGAAACCCGGUGAUCUAGCCAUGGGCAGGUUGAAGGUUGGGUAACACUAACUGGAGGACCGAACCGACUAAUGUUGAAAAAUUAGCGGAUGACUUGUGGCUGGGGGUGAAAGGCCAAUCAAACCGGGAGAUAGCUGGUUCUCCCCGAAAGCUAUUUAGGUAGCGCCUCGUGAAUUCAUCUCCGGGGGUAGAGCACUGUUUCGGCAAGGGGGUCAUCCCGACUUACCAACCCGAUGCAAACUGCGAAUACCGGAGAAUGUUAUCACGGGAGACACACGGCGGGUGCUAACGUCCGUCGUGAAGAGGGAAACAACCCAGACCGCCAGCUAAGGUCCCAAAGUCAUGGUUAAGUGGGAAACGAUGUGGGAAGGCCCAGACAGCCAGGAUGUUGGCUUAGAAGCAGCCAUCAUUUAAAGAAAGCGUAAUAGCUCACUGGUCGAGUCGGCCUGCGCGGAAGAUGUAACGGGGCUAAACCAUGCACCGAAGCUGCGGCAGCGACGCUGAUGCGUUGUUGGGUAGGGGAGCGUUCUGUAAGCCUGCGAAGGUGUGCUGUGAGGCAUGCUGGAGGUAUCAGAAGUGCGAAUGCUGACAUAAGUAACGAUAAAGCGGGUGAAAAGCCCGCUCGCCGGAAGACCAAGGGUUCCUGUCCAACGUUAAUCGGGGCAGGGUGAGUCGACCCCUAAGGCGAGGCCGAAAGGCGUAGUCGAUGGGAAACAGGUUAAUAUUCCUGUACUUGGUGUUACUGCGAAGGGGGGACGGAGAAGGCUAUGUUGGCCGGGCGACGGUUGUCCCGGUUUAAGCGUGUAGGCUGGUUUUCCAGGCAAAUCCGGAAAAUCAAGGCUGAGGCGUGAUGACGAGGCACUACGGUGCUGAAGCAACAAAUGCCCUGCUUCCAGGAAAAGCCUCUAAGCAUCAGGUAACAUCAAAUCGUACCCCAAACCGACACAGGUGGUCAGGUAGAGAAUACCAAGGCGCUUGAGAGAACUCGGGUGAAGGAACUAGGCAAAAUGGUGCCGUAACUUCGGGAGAAGGCACGCUGAUAUGUAGGUGAAGUCCCUCGCGGAUGGAGCUGAAAUCAGUCGAAGAUACCAGCUGGCUGCAACUGUUUAUUAAAAACACAGCACUGUGCAAACACGAAAGUGGACGUAUACGGUGUGACGCCUGCCCGGUGCCGGAAGGUUAAUUGAUGGGGUCAGCGCAAGCGAAGCUCUUGAUCGAAGCCCCGGUAAACGGCGGCCGUAACUAUAACGGUCCUAAGGUAGCGAAAUUCCUUGUCGGGUAAGUUCCGACCUGCACGAAUGGCGUAAUGAUGGCCAGGCUGUCUCCACCCGAGACUCAGUGAAAUUGAACUCGCUGUGAAGAUGCAGUGUACCCGCGGCAAGACGGAAAGACCCCGUGAACCUUUACUAUAGCUUGACACUGAACAUUGAGCCUUGAUGUGUAGGAUAGGUGGGAGGCUUUGAAGUGUGGACGCCAGUCUGCAUGGAGCCGGCCUUGAAAUACCACCCUUUAAUGUUUGAUGUUCUAACGUUGACCCGUAAUCCGGGUUGCGGACAGUGUCUGGUGGGUAGUUUGACUGGGGCGGUCUCCUCCUAAAGAGUAACGGAGGAGCACGAAGGUUGGCUAAUCCUGGUCGGACAUCAGGAGGUUAGUGCAAUGGCAUAAGCCAGCUUGACUGCGAGCGUGACGGCGCGAGCAGGUGCGAAAGCAGGUCAUAGUGAUCCGGUGGUUCUGAAUGGAAGGGCCAUCGCUCAACGGAUAAAAGGUACUCCGGGGAUAACAGGCUGAUACCGCCCAAGAGUUCAUAUCGACGGCGGUGUUUGGCACCUCGAUGUCGGCUCAUCACAUCCUGGGGCUGAAGUAGGUCCCAAGGGUAUGGCUGUUCGCCAUUUAAAGUGGUACGCGAGCUGGGUUUAGAACGUCGUGAGACAGUUCGGUCCCUAUCUGCCGUGGGCGCUGGAGAACUGAGGGGGGCUGCUCCUAGUACGAGAGGACCGGAGUGGACGCAUCACUGGUGUUCGGGUUGUCAUGCCAAUGGCACUGCCCGGUAGCUAAAUGCGGAAGAGAUAAGUGCUGAAAGCAUCUAAGCACGAAACUUGCCCCGAGAUGAGUUCUCCCUGACUCCUUGAGAGUCCUGAAGGAACGUUGAAGACGACGACGUUGAUAGGCCGGGUGUGUAAGCGCAGCGAUGCGUUGAGCUAACCGGUACUAAUGAACCGUGAGGCUUAACCU
rnacentral:rRNA from 2 species